AAACUUCUCAUGGCACAGAAACUGCCAGCAGCCAGAUGAAGACACCUGCGCCUAACUGCAUGUGGAGUCAUAGGCAGGCAUCUUCUAACUUGGCAGUGCUCCUUCCAGUGACAUUUCCAGCACCACCUGGAGGGUCAGGAAAGUCAGUCAGGCUGGCGGCGCCAGAGGUGGGCCGGACCAAAUCCCUGCUGGCAAAUUCUCAUUCGAGAGGUCCAGCUCCCAUCCAUGGUCCUUGACGAGACAACCUCCAGUGCUCAGCCACGGUGGCUUGGUAACCAAGAGGAAACAGAAGAAAAAGGUCUUGUUUUUCCUCUUUUGUCCCUGGUCUGCCUGCCUCCAUGUCGAGGGUCGGGAUUCACUGGCUGCUCUGGCUGCUGUGGUUGAUGUGGAAGGCUUGAGAGAGGACAUGAUGCUUGACUGCUUAGCCUCCAUAAUGGCUUGCUGCCAAACACUCAACGUACUUUCAAAAAGCAAAUCAUCUUUGGAUUUAUUUCGGUUAUGGAAAACAGAAAUGGUGAAACAGCUAAUCUGGAAAUGGCAUAGAAUUGGGCCGUCUCCUGCCUCGCUGAUGGAAAUUGUUCCAGUGUUUUUGAAGAAAAUUGUGGCACCACGUUGGUUCCAGGUAUGGUUGAACUGCAUACCCCUUGACUCAGCAAUUCCUCCUCCAGGAAUUAAUCGGAAAGGGGAAAGGAGCCUUUUGGAAUACAACAAUGUGGCUAUAAGAAUGGUAUUGUAGAUCAUUUCUUGUAAUAAUGAAACAUUGAAAGAAACUUAGUGUCCAGACAUAGGAAAUGAAUUGUUUAAAUUUUGGCAGAUCCAUACCAUGCAACAUUAUACAAGCUUUGAAAAAGAUUCCAUGAAAAAUAUGCAUGAUAUGGAAAGAUAAACUAUAUCUCAUUUGGGAAAAACAGUUUAUAACAUGAUAUUACUGUCUAAUCCAGUUUUGCUAAUACCAAAGGUUACACUUGCAUAAAAAAAUGUGAUAGAAUGAUAUAAAACAAAAUACAAUGUUACUAAUGGCUAUUUUUCAAUAAUACAUGUAUGGACAACAUUAAAAAAAAUUUUUCUUGUUCUGUUGUUGUUAGUGCCAUGGAGUGGCUUCUGACUCCUAGCAACCCUGUGGACAGCGGAGGGAGCCCUGCCUGGUCUUUCUCCUCUGUCCUGUCAUCUUCCAGCACUGUCACAGACAGUGCUCGACUGCUAUUCACAGGGUUUUCGGGGCCAAUUUUUUCAGAACUGGGUGGCCGGAUCCUUCCUCUUAGUCUGUCUUAGUCUGGAAGUUCCACUGAAACCUGUCCACCAUGGGUGACCCUGCUGGUAUUUGAAAUCCCAGUGACAUAGCUUUCAGCAUCACAGCCACAGGCAGCCACCACAGUAUGACAACCGACAGAGGGGUGGUGUGGUUCCCUGACUGGGAAAUGAAUCCAGCUGUAGCAGUGUGAGCGCUGAAUCAUAAUCACUAGACCACCAGGGCUGGCUUUCUUGUUUAGGUGG
rnacentral:lncRNA from 1 species